rnacentral:rRNA from 1 species
AGAGUUUGAUCAUGGCUCAGGGUGAACGCUGGCGGCGUGCCUAACACAUGCAAGUCGAGCGGUGCAGCUGGAGGCUUCGGCCGAAGGCUGCAUAGCGGCGGACGGGUGCGUAACGCGUAGGAACGUGCCCCCUGGAGGCGGAUAGCCGUGGGAAACUGCGGGUAAACCGCCAUAGACUCGGGAGAGUAAAGGCCGAAAGGCGCCAGGGGAGCGGCCUGCGUCCCAUCAGGUAGUUGGUAGGGUAAUGGCCUACCAAGCCUACGACGGGUAGCCGGUCUGAGAGGAUGGCCGGCCACAAGGGCACUGAGACACGGGCCCUACUCCUACGGGAGGCAGCAGUGGGGGAUAUUGGACAAUGGGCGAAAGCCUGAUCCAGCGACGCCGCGUGGAGGACGAAGCCCUUCGGGGUGUAAACUCCUUUUGUCGGGGAAAAAGGGCUGAUGGUACCCGACGAAUAAGCCCCGGCUAACUACGUGCCAGCAGCCGCGGUAAUACGUAGGGGGCGAGCGUUACCCGGAAUCACUGGGCGUAAAGGGUGCGUAGGCGGCCGCGUGUGUCUGGCGUAAAAUACCACGGCUCAACCGUGGGAAUGCGCUGGAAACUACGUGGCUUGGGUGCGGCAGAGGCAGACGGAACUGCUGGUGUAGGGGUGAAAUCCGUAGAUAUCAGCAGGAACGCCGGUGGAGAAGUCGGUCUGCUGGGCCGUAACCGACGCUGAGGCACGAAAGCUAGGGGAGCGAACCGGAUUAGAUACCCGGGUAGUCCUAGCCGUAAACGAUGCUCACUAGGUGUGGGGGCGGAAGCCUCCGUGCUGAAGCAAACGCGAUAAGUGAGCCGCCUGGGGAGUACGCCCGCAAGGGUGAAACUCAAAUGAAUUGACGG